rnacentral:misc_RNA from 1 species
AGAGCACUAGAAAUUAUUAUUUUCCAAUGUAUUAAAAAAAAAAAAGAGGACUAUAAAUUAUGGCUUAUUUGUUGAAAUUUUUUAUUGAUUAAUCCACCAAUUUCUGAUUUUUAGCAAUCAGGCAUCGAGGUUAACUCAGUGGUCUUACUACUCAGUGCUCCCUGUCUCAUAGUUCAAAGUUGAAUUUUAUCAUGUACCUUAACUACGAUGUGAUGAAGAUAGCUGUACUUU